GUGGGGAAUUUUGGACAAUGGGGGCAACCCUGAUCCAGCCAUGCCGCGUGAGUGAAGAAGGCCUUCGGGUUGUAAAGCUCUUUCAGCCGGAAAGAAAUCGUGCAACCUAAUACGUUGUAUGGAUGACGGUACCGGAAGAAGAAGCACCGGCUAACUACGUGCCAGCAGCCGCGGUAAUACGUAGGGUGCGAGCGUUAAUCGGAAUUACUGGGCGUAAAGCGUGCGCAGGCGGUUUUGUAAGACAGAUGUGAAAUCCCCGGGCUCAACCUGGGAACUGCAUUUGUGACUGCAAGGCUAGAGUACGGCAGAGGGGGGUAGAAUUCCACGUGUAGCAGUGAAAUGCGUAGAUAUGUGGAGGAAUACCGAUGGCGAAGGCAGCCCCCUGGGUCGAUACUGACGCUCAUGCACGAAAGCGUGGGGAGCAAACAGGAUUAGAAACCCCUGUAGUCC
rnacentral:rRNA from 1 species